UACGAAGGGGGGCUAGCGUUGCUCGGAAUCACUGGGCGUAAAGCGCACGUAGGCGGAUUGUUAAGUCAGGGGUGAAAUCCUGGAGCUCAACUCCAGAACUGCCUUUGAUACUGGCGAUCUCGAGUCCGGGAGAGGUGAGUGGAACUGCGAGUGUAGAGGUGAAAUUCGUAGAUAUUCGCAAGAACACCAGUGGCGAAGGCGGCUCACUGGCCGUACGUCGUGACGCUGAGGUGCGAAAGCGUGGGGAGCAAACAGG
rnacentral:rRNA from 1 species